CUAUAGCAGGACUUUAUUAAAUUAUUAAUCGACAUUUUUGCGGCUAUAUAAUUAUUCCGUUGCAUUCAUAAAUGCAAAGAACCCCGGAAUAUAUGUGUUGAAAGCGUAUUUCAGUUACUGAAAAGAAACUCGACGGCGUCACCAAUAGAAGUUAAAAUACGGAAUUGUUCUCCUAAACGAGCGAACACCACAAGGCAAACAACAUGGACAGUCAAGGUGAACUGUUAAUACCCAAAAGCCAUGAUGUGAGACUGUAUGAAGACAUGGAUAAUGAGCAGCAUAAUUAGCAAAAUAUUUAGCUUUCCUUUCUUCCCUUUAAAAUAUGUUUUUUCUUUCAAUCAAUCUGCAUUCUUCUCCUGGGAAAAAAUAUUUUUGAUGUUUGGUUGAUAUUGCCCUAAAAUUUUAGCAAUUAAAAUAAACAAAACU